GACAGAGGUCCCGAGCGUUGUUCGGAUUCAUUGGGCGUAAAGGGUGUGUAGGAGGUCGGGUAAGUCAGGUGUGAAAUCUCACAGCUUAACUGUGAAACUGCGCUUGAUACUGCUCGGCUAGAGGAUCGGAGGGGGUAACGGAAUUUAUGGUGUAGCAGUGAAAUGCGUAGAUAUCAAGAGGAACACCAGUGGCGAAGGCGAGUCCCUGGACAACUUCUGACGCUGAGGCACGAAAGCUAGGGGAGCAAACAGG
rnacentral:rRNA from 1 species